AGUGAACGCUGGCGGUAGGCCUAACACAUGCCAGUCGAACGGCAGCACAGUAAGAGCUUGCUCUUACGGGUGGCGAGUGGCGGACGGGUGAGGAAUACAUCGGAAUCUACUUUUUCGUGGGGGAUAACGUAGGGAAACUUACGCUAAUACCGCAUACGACCUACGGGUGAAAGCAGGGGAUCUUCGGACCUUGCGCGAUUGAAUGAGCCGAUGUCGGAUUAGCUAGUUGGCGGGGUAAAGGCCCACCAAGGCGACGAUCCGUAGCUGGUCUGAGAGGAUGAUCAGCCACACUGGAACUGAGACACGGUCCAGACUCCUACAGGAGGCAGCAGUGGGGAAUAUUGGACAAUGGGCGCAAGCCUGAUCCGGCCAUACCGCGUGGGUGAAGAAGGCCUUCGGGUUGUAAAGCCCUUUUGUUGGGAAAGAAAAGCAGUAGGUUAAUACCCCGCUGUUCUGACGGUACCCAAAGAAUAAGCACCGGCUAACUUCGUG
rnacentral:rRNA from 1 species